rnacentral:rRNA from 1 species
GACGGGGGGGGGCAAGUGUUCUUCGGAAUGACUGGGCGUAAAGGGCACGUAGGCGGUGAAUCGGGUUGAAAGUGAAAGUCGCCAAAAAGUGGCGGAAUGCUCUCGAAACCAAUUCACUUGAGUGAGACAGAGGAGAGUGGAAUUUCGUGUGUAGGGGUGAAAUCCGUAAAUAUACGAAGGAACGCCAAAAGCGAAGGCAGCUCUCUGGGUCCCUCA